rnacentral:rRNA from 1 species
CAAGUCGAACGAGACUUUUCGCUGUAGCAAUACAGUGAAAAGUUUAGUGGCGAACGGGUGCGUAACACGUGGGCAAUCUGCCGAGAAGUGGGGGAUAGCUCGCCGAAAGGCGAAUUAAUACCGCAUGUGGUCAGGAGGGACAUCCCUUCGAAACCAAAGCCGGGGCAACCUGGCGCUUUUUGAGGAGCCCGCGGCCUAUCAGCUAGUUGGUGAGGUAACGGCUCACCAAGGCUAUGACGGGUAGCUGGUCUGAGAGGACGACCAGUCACACUGGAACUGAGACACGGUCCAGACACCUACGGGUGGCAGCAGUCGAGAAUUUUUCUCAAUGGGGGAAACCCUGAAGGAGCGACGCCGCGUGGAGGAUGAAGGCUUUCGGGUUGUAAACUCCUGUCAUUUGGGAACAAGGUGCACCGGUUAACUGCCGGAGUAAUGAUAGUACCAGAAGAGGAAGAGACGGCUAACUCUGUGCCAGCAGCCGCGGUAAUACAGAGGUCUCAAGCGUUGUUCGGAUUCAUUGGGCGUAAAGGGUGCGUAGGUGGCGCUGUAAGUCGGGUGUGAAAUUUCGGAGCUCAACUCCGAAACUGCAUUCGAUACUGCGGUGCUUGAGGACUGGAGAGGAGACUGGAAUUCAUGGUGUAGCAGUGAAAUGCGUAGAGAUCAUGAGGAAGACCAGUGGCGAAGGCGGGUCUCUGGACAGUUCCUGACACUGAGGCACGAAGGCCAGGGGAGCAAACGGGAUUAGAUACCCCGGUAGUCCUGGCAGUAAACGGUGCACGUUUGGUGUGGGAGGAUUCGACCCCUUCCGCGCCGGAGCUAACGCGUUAACGUGCCGCCUGGGGAGUACGGUCGCAAGAU